rnacentral:rRNA from 1 species
GAUGAACGCUGGCGGCGUGCCUAAUACAUGCAAGUCGAGCGAACAGACGAGGAGCUUGCUCCUCUGACGUUAGCGGCGGACGGGUGAGUAACACGUGGAUAACCUACCUAUAAGACUGGGAUAACUUCGGGAAACCGGAGCUAAUACCGGAUAAUAUAUUGAACCGCAUGGUUCAAUAGUGAAACACGGUUUUGCUGUCACUUAUAGAUGGAUCCGCGCCGCAUUAGCUAGUUGGUAAGGUAACGGCUUACCAAGGCAACGAUGCGUAGCCGACCUGAGAGGGUGAUCGGCCACACUGGAACUGAGACACGGUCCAGACUCCUACGGGAGGCAGCAGUAGGGAAUCUUCCGCAAUGGGCGAAGGCCUGACGGAGCAACGCCGCGUGAGUGAUGAAGGUCUUCGGAUCGUAAAACUCUGUUAUUAGGGAAGAACAAAUGUGUAAGUAACUAUGCACGUCUUGACGGUACCUAAUCAGAAAGCCACGGCUAACUACGUG